CCGUUCCCAUACCGAACACGGAAGUUAAGCUCUCUAGCGCCGAUGGUAGUUGGGACCUUGUCCCUGUGAGAGUAGGACGUCGCCAAGCA
rnacentral:rRNA from 7 species